rnacentral:rRNA from 1 species
UACGGGGGGUGCGAGCGUUGUCCGGAUUCACUGGGCGUAAAGGGCGCGUAGGCGGCUUGAUCAGUCGGCUCUUUAAGUGCGGGGCUCACCCCCGUGAUGGAGCCGAGACGGUCAGGCUUUGGGCGCGGCAGAGGGGGACGGAAUGCCGGGUGUAGUGGUGAAAUGCGUAGAGAUCCGGCGGAACACCGGUGGUGAAGACGGUUCCCUGGGCCGAGGCCGACGCUGAGGCGCGAGAGCGUGGGGAGCGAACCGG